UACAGAGGGGGCAAGCGUUGUUCGGAAUUACUGGGCGUAAAGGGCGCGUAGGCGGCCUGUUAAGUCGAACGUGAAAUCCCCGGGCUCAACCCGGGAACUGCGUCCGAUACUGGCAGGCUUGAAUCCGGGAGAGGGAUGCGGAAUUCCAGGUGUAGCGGUGAAAUGCGUAGAUAUCUGGAGGAACACCGGUGGCGAAGGCGGCAUCCUGGACCGGUAUUGACGCUGAUGCGCGAAAAGCCAGGGGAGCAAACGGG
rnacentral:rRNA from 1 species